UGCGUAGGCGGCUUGGUAAGUCAGAUGUGAAAUCCUGGGGCUCAACCUCGGAACUGCAUUUGAUACUGCCAGGCUAGAGUACUGGAGAGGAGACUGGAAUUUACGGUGUAGCAGUGAAAUGCGUAGAUAUCGUAAGGAAGGCCAGUGGCGAAGGCGAGUCUCUGGACAGUAACUGACGCUGAGGCACGAGGCUAGGGGAGCAAACCG
rnacentral:rRNA from 1 species